rnacentral:lncRNA from 1 species
CACAAUUCAACCAUUCAUAAAUUGAUUGGUCAAUCACAGUAUCAAUAAAUCAUCUCAUAGUUUUUGGGGAAAGAUCUGGUUACGUCGACAUUUAUUUCAUGUUCGUCUAUAACAACUAGUUGAUCUACAAAUGGAUUAUUGAAAAUGAAUUUUAGAAGCACAAACCACAAUAUCUAUUCAACACUCACAUUUUCCUUUCCUUUCACUUUUGACGUCCAACGUCGUCUUUGGUUUAUUCUCUUAAUUGAAGGACGGCAAUGGAAGAAACUCAAAGCUAUUUUCUUUCGUUCUCAUGCAUGUACUGUGAUGGAGAAGACGAUAGAAUGUUCCUUUAACACUCUCUCCUGCUAAUUAUAUAUAAGUAAUCAACACUUCAUUAACUUAAUUAACCCAUUAGAUAAAUAAUUAAGCAUGUUUAGUUGUUACUUUAGUGGAAAAUGAUGACAUGAUAAAUAAUUAACAUUAACAUAAAUUUAAAAUGGUUUUAAGUACUCCCC